GUAGGUGGCAAGCGUUGUCCGGAAUUAUUGGGCGUAAAGCGCGCGCAGGCGGUUCUUUAAGUCUGAUGUGAAAGCCCACGGCUCAACCGUGGAGGGUCAUUGGAAACUGGAGAACUUGAGUACAGAAGAGGAAAGCGGAAUUCCACGUGUAGCGGUGAAAUGCGUAGAGAUGUGGAGGAACACCAGUGGCGAAGGCGGCUUUCUGGUCUGUAACUGACGCUGAGGCGCGAAAGCGCGGGGAGCAAACAGGGAUUAGAUACCCUGGUAGUCCACGCCGUAAACGAUGAGUGCUAAGUGUUAGGGGGGUUUCCGCCCCCUUAGUGCUGCAGCUAACGCAUUAAGCACUCCGCCUGGGGAGUACGGCCGCAAGGCUG
rnacentral:rRNA from 1 species